rnacentral:rRNA from 1 species
GACGAACGCUGGCGGCGUGCUUAACACAUGCAAGUCGAGCGGUAAGGCCCUUUCGGGGGUACACGAGCGGCGAACGGGUGAGUAACACGUGGGUGACCUGCCCUCAGCUCUGGGAUAAGCCUGGGAAACCGGGUCUAAUACUGGAUAUGACUCCACGACGCAUGUUGUGGGGUGGAAAGCCUUGUGCGGCUGAGGAUGGGCCCGCGGCCUAUCAGCUUGUUGGUGGGGUGAUGGCCUACCAAGGCGACGACGGGUAGCCGGCCUGAGAGGGCGACCGGCCACACUGGGACUGAGACACGGCCCAGACUCCUACGGGAGGCAGCAGUGGGGAAUCUUGCGCAAUGGGCGAAAGCCUGACGCAGCGACGCCGCGUGAGGGAUGACGGCCU